AUUCCAUGAUGAGGGCAUUCUGCGAUGUAAUCUUGAAAGCGUUCCCAUGCUUUAGCGAACGAUCCAUCAUGUUGCUAUUGAAGAUUGAGAUCUUCCCACGCAGUGC
rnacentral:snoRNA from 1 species